CGAUUCCCUUAGUAGUGGCGAACGAAAAGGGAGCAGCCCAGCGCAUAAUCUCCCGGUACACCCGUACUGUGGCGAAAUGUUGCGUUAAAGGAAAGGUCGCUAUCAAGCCAUUCGCGCUCGUGCAAUGCCUAAACGCGAAUUGAAAUGUUCGCGCUUGUUCGGCAUUCGCUUUUGCGGGUUGUCGACGUACGGUUCCAUGGAGGGUGCAAGCCCCGUAUGGCCUACGUUGUGCGGAUGGUUCGGCCUCUAUUCCUUAAGAGUCGCGUUGCUUGAACCUGCAGCGCUAAGCAGGUGGUAAACUCCACCUAAGGCUAAAUACAUCCACAGAACCGAUAGCAUACAAGUACCGCGAGGGAAAGUUGAAAAGUACUCUGAAGAGAGGGUGCAAAGACCGUGAAACCGUUCAGGGUAAAAGCCAAAUGUCGAGUGAUCCUAGAUGCUGGGGCAUCGUCUCUUCGGAGACGAUAGUGCUUGUCUGUUUGCGCUUUAGAAGUUGCGAGGUUUGCCGAGUGUAUCCGUCGCGAGUUUACUCUCGCGAAGAUUCUUGCUCAGUUAUUCCGAGCCUCUCUAGAGCAUCCAAAGCAGCGAUUGACUGGCGCCUUUAGGCCCGCUAACAGCCCGCCGCAACUGCUGUUGAGGUCACUCGCGGUAGAUGGGCGCUUGUUCGUGUCAAUUUCGUUAGCGUUGCCACGUUGUCGGGUUGCGCGUAUAGAGAUGCCCCGGAGUACGGAUAGUAAUAUCCGGAAAAGGAGCUCUUGUACGCGAGCGCACACCUUAUAUGACACCAGAGCGUGGUUUCGUGAAAAUGGCGUUAAGCGAGCUCGCGUCGUACUGCCAAUGCGAUGUUGUAUGAUCCUUGACAGCGUUGUUCGCUGACACUUAAUCAGUACGGUGGUAUAUGCUAGGUGACAUUGGUCACGUCUCGAAACACGGGCCAAGGAGCGUAGCGUGCGCGCAAGUCUAAGGGUCUCACAAAACCCUACGGCGACAGUGAAAGCGAGAGGACCGUUCUCAUAUGUGAGAGCGUGUCAGGUUGGGUUACGGUAAUUCUUUUAACGAAGUUUAUUCGUAGCCUAGCCGCUGUGUCAGGGCCGAUCUCGAUUUAAAAAUUGAGCGCAAGCCCAGGGCUUACUCAUAAGUCGCGGCGGCGCUUGUCGACGUCGUGACGGAGGGAGCACCUAGUAGCGCGCACGGUACAACCCGAAAGAUAGUGAACUAUGCCUGGCGAGGUUAAAGUCCCAGGAAACUGUGAUGGAGGACCGUAGCCGUUGUGACGUGCAAAUCCAUGGUAUCAGCUGGGCAUAGGGGCGAAAGACCAAUCGAACUAUCUAGUAGCUGGUUCCAUCCGAAGUUUCUCUCAGGAUAGCUUGCGUGAAUAUGGCGCGUUUGUCUGAAUCUCACUGUUUGCGACGUAAGUUGCACUUGGGAACGAAUCGCUUUUGUCGAGAGCUGAGGGCAUUUAUGUGCGCUACGCCUCCGAAGUUUAUUCUCAGAUUCCUUCGUUUCGUCAGUUACGUCUGGUAAAGAGAAUGAGUAGAGGUUGCGUGCCGCGCGCCCAAAUGCGCGGCAGCAGCGGGGCGUUCUACGCCUCGCACUAUUAUCAAACUUUAAAUGGGCGAGGUACCCGGCAUAUCUUAAUUGAUUUGAUGCCGGGGUACGAGUGCGCUUUCGCUUUAUUGCGUAGAGACUAGAAUGUGUUCGCGUUAAGUGGGUCCGUUCUGGUAAGCAGAACUGAUAAUGAGGGAUGAACCUAACGUUGUGUUAAGGGGCCAAAAAGACAGCUAUUUCUCGAAACCAUUGGAAAGGCGUUGCUUGCUGAAGACAGCAGGACGGUGGUCAUGGAAGUUGACAUCCGCUAAGGAGUGUGUAACAACUCAUCCUGCCGAAGCGAGUAACCCUGAAAAUGGAUGGCUCUAAAGCUCUCUCCCGAUGCACGACUGUCAGAGGCAACAAUGGCUAUACAGUCUCGAUGCCCUGACAAGUAGGAUGGUGUGUUGGUGCGCGUUGAAGGCCUUAGGGUGACUUGGGCUGGAGCCUCCAGCAAUACAGAUCUUGGUGGUAGUAGCAAGUACUCUGGUUGAUAACCUUGAGCUAUGAGGUUGAUAAGGGUUCCAUGUCAACAGCGUUUGUACAUGGGUAAGCCGAUCCUAAGCCCACCUAUACCUAGGUAUAGAGUGCGUGCGCGACUCGCAGUUACCUGCCAACAAAAAUCACACGCUGCUCAUGAUUAUAACGUAAAAGAUCCGGAUGUUGUUGUUAGUAGUUGUUGUCUAUACGUCUCUCUCUGAGAGAACACGCUAUUUGUGCGUUGAUGAUUGGGUUCAGAUUCCACUUUGCGUUAGUAUCUUCUCUAUGACGUACACUAGACGAACCGACGAACGCGCAGCGCGGUGCAUCGAUAAACGCAAAAAUCCAGAGAUAAAAAAACAGCGACGGGUGUUUUCUUGUGAAGGGUUGCGUGUCGUUUAGCCUGGCGAAAGGGAACUGUGGACUUAGUUCAUGGGCCUCUCUUGGUACCCUGAUGUGUCGCCGCAUCACGAACUUAGCAAUAGCUUUUUUUGCUGAGCCUGCCGCUGUCUCGAGUCGCGUGAUGGGGAGAUCUCUCCUCUCAUUAAUCGAACCUCUAGAACCUGUUAAACGCCUUGAGAGGAGUUAGGCUCUAAGUUCGUGAGAAGAGUAAUUUCUCUCCCCAAUCAUAUCAAUGUUUCUCGAGAUCCGUGAAAAGGUGGCCGAGGGGAUUUAUCUAACGAAUUUCUACCGAGUUCUUAGAGUUUGCCAAGAGUGUACGUACCCGAGUCCGCAUCCGUCUCAAA
rnacentral:rRNA from 1 species